ACUUCAUGAGGUUUCCUCUGGACUGGAAAUGAAUGUUUGUCGAGAAAAACUAACCCGGUUUUCUGUUAAAAAGACCACGUAAAUGAUGACUCUUUUGCUUCAAAGAAAAAUCUCAGAAUGUUAGUGUCCUGCGGUAUUGGAGGGGGCUGUGAGCUCACCUAGAGAAGCCAGCAGGAAGGCUCGUCUGCCCGGCUCACAGACCAGGAGGAAAUCACCGUCUGAGAUUUGCCAAUCAAAGUUCUAUGGCUCCUCCUCUUUCGGGAAUGCUAUCAGAAUCCCAGUGGCCCACACAGAGUGUUUGGGGAAGAUAGAGACACCCAUCGACCCAGUUCAGUCACUCAAAUAAGGUGAGAAGUAAGAUAAAACAGUUGUCACUGUUGGUUGGCUCUCAGAUAUGAGAGUAACCUUACCAAACUAAAUCUACUUUAUAUAAAUUCAAACAUAAAAGAAUCAAAUAUUGUCUGGAUGGCUUUAUCCUGUCUCUUAUGUCAGUGCAUGUAGCCAAAUAUGGGCUCCCUGUACAAAUAAAGAGAAAAUGCUGAAAUAAAACAAAUAAGCAAAACAAAACGCCCAAAUGAAACAAAACCCUACUGUAUUCCAGGAAGCAAAUAAAGGCCUCCUGUGUAAAUAAAGGCAAAGGGCCAAAAUAAAGCAAAAAGCUCAACGACUAUCUUAGAAUCUGAAGAACACAGAGGAAUUCUUAUUUUUUUGAACAACCACUUCUCUGCCAUAUCUACGCUAA
rnacentral:lncRNA from 1 species